rnacentral:rRNA from 1 species
GUACGAACGACGUACCGUUCGGGUCUAGGUGGCGCGACGGGUGCGUAACGCGUCGGGAACCUGUCCGUUUAGGUUCGGAAUAACAGUGAGAAAUUACUGCUAAUACCGGAUGAUGUCUUCGGACCAAAGAUUUAUCGCCUUUAGAUGGGCCCGCGUUGGAUUAGCUAGUUGGUGGGGUAAAGGCCUACCAAGGCGACGAUCCAUAGCUGGUCUGAGAGGAUGAUCAGCCACACUGGGACUGAGACACGGCCCAGACUCCUACGGGAGGCAGCAGUGGGGAAUAUUGGACAAUGGGGGCAACCCUGAUCCAGCAAUGCCGCGUGAGUGAAGAAGGCCUUCGGGUUGUAAAGCUCUUUUUGUCAGGGAAGAAACAGCAGCUCUAACACAGUCUGCGAAUGACGGUACCUGAAGAAUAAGCACCGGCUAACUCCGUG